GACGAACGCUGGCGGCGUGCUUAACACAUGCAAGUCGAACGGUAAGGCCCUUCGGGGUACACGAGUGGCGAACGGGUGAGUAACACGUGGGUGAUCUGCCCUGCACUUCGGGAUAAGCCUGGGAAACUGGGUCUAAUACCGGAUAGGACUCCGGUCUGCAUGGACUGGGGUGGGAAGCUUUUGCGGUGUGGGAUGGGCCCGCGGCCUAUCAGCUUGUUGGUGGGGUGAUGGCCUGCCAAGGCGACGACGGGUAGCCGGCCUGAGAGGGUGACCGGCCACACUGGGACUGAGAUACGGCCCAGACUCCUACGGGAGGCAGCAGUGGGGAAUAUUGCACAAUGGGCGCAAGCCUGAUGCAGCGACGCCGCGUGAGGGAUGACGGCCUUCGGGUUGUAAACCUCUUUCAGCAUCGACGAAGCGAAAGUGACGGUAGGUGCAGAAGAAGGACCGGCCAACUACGUGCCAGCAGCCGCCGUAA
rnacentral:rRNA from 1 species